rnacentral:lncRNA from 14 species
GCAUAAGCAUCAGGUCGGAGUGGCUUUCUAGAGGAUGCAUUCAACUUUCACUACCUAAUUUCAUGACUUCUCUCUUCAGCUUUGGCUGUGCUGUGUGCUGGGUGCUGCUGGUAUCAAGUACCAUGAGUAAAGUGGAGGGGCAAAGGAGAAACCAGCGUCUCUUAUGCUUUUCCUCAGAUAAAGAAUGGCUUGUUGGACUACAGUACUUGUGAUGGAGAUUCAUGAGCAUACAGUGGCUGGAAAAUCACAGGAGUGCCUGAAACCCUCCAGAGGAGACUGAGUGGUUCAAAGGAUCUUCUUAGACACUGAUGGGAAAUGGAGAACCACACUUCAGGUGUAAUCUGGAGAGGAGUUUGCUGCACCAACAUGUCCUUUGAGGUAGUUGCAGCUCAAAAGAUUGCUGAAAUGAGCAGAGCUGGAGUUUGACUGGAAGCCAAGAAAAAGAGUAGCUCAGGUCAGUUAAUCUACCUCAUUGCAUGUGGGGGAUCUAUGAUAUAACACUGUCUCUGCCUGCUCUGAAAUAGUGUAAUUGAAGGGACACAGUCUUCAAAUGUAUCUUUGCCCGAACAGCAGCUGUUAGGGCUUGCUAGACACCACUGAUGUAGGACUCUGGGAAACUGCCCUAGAGAAACAUUAGAAUUGAUGAGAGAAAUACUCAUCUAGUAGCUUGUAGGGCUCACAGAAGGAGUCUUUGGGGAUGAAUAGGAAAAGUAUGGAGACUUUUUGUAUGAAUCGUGAAGAUCAAGCUCUUCAAAGGUACAAAGCAUCUUCUGUACAAGCAGCAGCUGAAGAGAGUUGGACUCUUCAUCCUGUCAGUGGUGGAGUGCCAUGACAGAGACUGAUAAAAUUAUGAGUCUGAGCUGCUUGGUGACUUGAAGUUGACUUCCAAUUUUGCUGUUAUUCUUAGUCAGUAUUUAGACACCCCAAAACCUAAGCAAACCUCCCAUGCUUUACACACAACUUUCUCAGUGUGUCUCAGACACAGCUGAGGAUACUCAU